AGAGUUUGAUCCUGGCUCAGGACGAACGCUGGCGGCGUGGAUUAGGCAUGCAAGUCGCGCGACGGUGGAGCUUCGGCUUCAUACGGAGCGGCGAACGGGUGAGUAACACGUGAACAAUCUGUCCCUACAUUCCGGAUAAUUGACCGAAAGGUCUUGUAAUACGGGCGAGGGUGGUGACGGGGCAUCUCGUUACCAAGGAAGGUUAAGGAGUAAUCCUUAGUCGUGCAGGGAGGAGUUCGCGGCUUAUCAGCUAGUAGGUGGGGUAACGGCCUACCUAGGCGACGACGAGUAGCUGGUCUGAGAGGAUGGUCAGCCACAUUGGAACUGAGACACUGUCCAGACUCCUACGGGAGGCUGCAGUCGAGAAUCUUGGGCAAUGCACGAAAGUGUGGCCCAGCGACGCCGCGUGGAGGAUGAAGGCCCUUGGGUCGUAAACUCCUUUUAUGAGGGAAGAACGCAGGCGUAAGCUUGCUUGACGGUACCUCAUGAAUAAGCCACGGCUAACUACGUGCCAGCAGCCGCGGUAAUACGUAGGUGGCAAGCGUUGUCCGGAUUUACUGGGCGUAAAGCGUAUGCAGGCGGACCUUUAAGUAGGCAGUGAAAGGUUGGAGCUCAACUCUAACACGGCUAUCUAUACUGGGGGUCUUGAGUGGCGGAGAGGAAGAGGGAACGACACGUGUAGCGGUGAAAUGCGUUGAGAUGUGUCGGAACACCAAUGGCGAAAGCACUCUUCUGGACGCAGGCUUCGGCCAUAAAACUGACGCUGAGAUACGAAAGCCAAGGGAGCAAACAGGAUUAGAUACCCCAGUAGUCC
rnacentral:rRNA from 1 species